AUGUACAUUCUUACAACAUAGCCUUAAUGCAUUGGAUCCCAUUAGAACUCCGCAGUUAAGUGCGUUUGGGAUAGAUUAGUACUGGGAUGGGUGACCGCCCAAGAAUUCCUAUAGUUUUACAUG
rfam:Picea glauca, whole genome shotgun sequence.